rnacentral:rRNA from 1 species
GCACAAGCGGUGGAGCAUGUGGUUAAUUCGAAGCAACGCGAAGAACCUUACCAGGUCUUGACAUCCCGAUGCUAUUUCUAGAGAUAGAAAGUUACUUCGGUACAUCGGUGACAGGUGGUGCAUGGUUGUCGUCAGCUCGUGUCGUGAGAUGUUGGGUUAAGUCCCGCAACGAGCGCAACCCCUAUUGUUAGUUGCCAUCAUUCAGUUGGGCACUCUAGCGAGACUGCCGGUAAUAAACCGGAGGAAGGUGGGGAUGACGUCAAGUCCUCAUGGCCCUUAUGUCCAGGGCUACACACGUGCUACAAUGGCCGGUACAAAGGGCAGCAAAGCCGCGAGGUGGAGCCAAUCCCAGAAAGCCGGUCUCAGUUCGGAUUGGAGUCUGCAACUCGACUCCAUGAAGUUGGAAUCGCUAGUAAUCGCGGAUCAGCAUGCCGCGGUCGAAUACGUUCCCGGGCCUU